CGGAUUGCAGUCUGCAACUCGACUGCAUGAAGCCGGAAUCGCUAGUAAUCGCGGAUCAGAAUGCCGCGGUGAAUACGUUCCCGGGUCUUGUACACACCGCCCGUCACACCAUGGGAGUCGGAAAUGCCCGAAGCCGGUGGCCUAACCGAUAAGGGAGGAGCCGUCGAAGGCAGGUCUGAUGACUGGGGUGAAGUCGUAACAAGGUAAC
rnacentral:rRNA from 1 species